UUUUUUUUUUUUUUUUUUUUUUUUUUUUUUUUUGUCUUUUGUCUUUUUUGUUGUUGUUGUUAUUGUUGCUAUUUCUUGGGCCGCUCCCACGGCAUAUGGAGGUUCCCAGGCUAGGGGUUGAAUCGGAGCUGUAGCCACUGGCCUACACCACAGCCACAGCAAUGUGGGAUCCGAGCCAUGUCUGCAACCUACACCACAGCUCACGGCAACGCCGGAUCAUCAACCCACUGAGCAAGGGCAGGGAUCGAACCCGCAACCUCAUGGUUCCUAGUCGGAUUCGUUAACCACUGCGCCACGACGGGAACUCCUGUGGGAGAUUUCUUGAUGUAUAUAUGGAUGACAUGCUGACAGCAAAAAUAGAUUUUAUUGAAUAGUUAACUGUUAGUUAAUAUGUUGAUGGUAGUUUAGUCUAGAUAAAAAUUCCAUAUCUUUGCUAAAUUUUUGUGCCAUGUUAUGUAGACACAAAUAGAGCCAGAAUUGACAGUUUAAUUUAGCUUUACUAGGACAUUGACAGGGAUGGAACUCAGCAAUUGCAAUGUGUUCUGUGCAUCUUGUUAUUUCAUAUAUUGAAACUGACCAAAAUGUUUUUUGUGUUUUUUUGUCUUUCUGUCUUUUCUAGGGCGGCACCCACAGCAUGUAGAGGUUCCCAGGCUAGGGGUCUAAUCAUAGCUGUAGUCGCUGGCCUACGCCAGAGCCACAGCAACUCAGGAUCUGAGCCAUGUCUGUGAUCUAUACCAGAGCUCACGGCAAUGCCAGAUCCUUAACCCACUGAGCAAGACCAGGGAUCGAACCUGCAACCUCAUGGUUCCUAGUCAGAUUUGUUAACCACUGAGCCGUAACGGGAACUCCACCAAAAUGUUUUUAAUGUGAGGAGAUACACCUCAUUAUCAUGCAUGUACAAAGGAGUGAUGUGAUCAUAGCAAAAUCUCGAGAUCAUGUGAACUUGUGAGAUUUGGGAAGCUCUGGAUUCAAACAUCCUGGUAUUUGGCAAAUUCACAUGCCAAGGAAAAGAGGUACCUGUAAUUGGUAAAUUUCUGACCUUUGGAAAUGGGUUUUUUUAAUUGUCUUGAAAAAUUGAUCAUUGAAAACUGAAAAAAACUGUAUGGGCCAAAAAAGCUUCAGCAUGUUCCCUUGCAUAAUGAUAAGAUUUGUUUUAAAAUGUAUGCGGAAAGCCAGGAUGUCCUGGAGCAAGUGAUAGAGAAUGAGAACCUGUCCCUCUGAAGGACGUAUUAGUUUAACAAGAGACAUGAUAGUAAUGGCUGUAGUCAGCUGUUGGUAUUUUUGCAGUAUAUAAGGGAGAGAGUGUAGAUGAAUUCCUUUUGGGGUAUUGCUUCGGUUAACUGUGAGAGGAAACAAUGUGUUCAGUUUCAUCUAAGAGUCCUUAUUGAACCAUAAGCCCACACUUCAGCGGUGUAGACCAUUUUGUUCUGAAAGAACCCCCUGCUAUGCUUGGUAAAAUGUCAAGCUUUGCUGCCUGUUUACAGAAGGGAAUAGCUAUCUGUGUGAUGCCCUAUCAUGCACUUGGUGCAAAAAAAUAUGUCUGCAAAAAUGAAGAAUGUUCUGUCUUUAUAUAAUAACAAAAACCCCACUGAGAGGUAGAAACAAAAUCUUUGCUGCUUCUGUGAUUUUUGCUAAGAAAUUGGUUAAAAAUGGCCAGCAGCCAUUUCCAUGUGGAACUGAGCUGACUUCCUAUGGCAGCAUUUUUAUUUGCAACAGGAAAAAUGAUGAAAAAUGAAUAAAUUCUUUCUUUUGCCUCUCUGAGAGGGUGGCCUUCACCAUUCGGCCUGAGUAACCAUCUAAUUGAAGGUGGGGGCUAUUGUAGUCUUGGAGAUCAGGAUUUAGAGUAAGAGGAAAGGAAAAAAAAAUUUUUUGUUUUAUUCAGAUUCUGGAAUAAGAAAUAAGAUUAUGCAGGAAAAAAAAAAUUUAGAAAGACUUCCAAGUCAGGCUAUUACCAUAUGAGAGAGGAUUUUUGAAAUGCUCUUCUCUGUCCUCUUUAUCUUUAACAUUUGGCAGUCCCAGUCCAGGAGGAGCAGCUUCUGGUGUUCUCCUGUGGGCUAGGAAGAAACCUGUGCUGCUUAUGAUAGAAAAGCUCCAUGACCUGCAGCCACAUGGAAGAAGAUGUGUCACAAAAUCAAAGACAACCCAUCUAUUUUUCUUCCUGGAUGAAUAGGGGAUGGUGGGACAAGGGAAACCAGAAGAAGGAGGACUAAGAAAGCAAAGUACUAGGAUGAUGUAUUCACAUGUGUGCACACACUCUACCCUGCUCUCCAGCCUAGCUGAGUGAGGAAAAUGCAAAAGUAGAGAAGGCACAGAGGUUCUCGCCCAGUACUCCUCUUGGGACGGUGGGAGGAAUAAGCUCACAACUGUUCUGUGCCAUCCUGGGGAGAACCCACAUCACCUGGCAGUGCAGAAGGUUGGGGGGAGGUUGUGGUUUCCCCAAGCAGCCUUAGUUCCCAUGGGCUGUAUCUACUGGAUCCUGCAAUCCCUGAGCCUUCAGUGGAGAGCAUCCCUGUGGGGAUUGCUGUGGCAGGGGGCGGCGCUCUCUAGAGAGGGUUACAGAGCAAGUUGGGCCAGGGAUUCCAAAGUGUCUGUAGCCCCUGAGGAAUCAGAAUGAGAUUGAGUCAGUCAAAAAGAGACCAGAAGACAAUGAGUCCAAGUCCCUCAGUGAGCUCUGAUCACAUGAAGACCCAAGGACAGCGCUAAUGGUGCCCAAGCAUCCACAUUGAACAAGAGGUCUGGAAGAAUAUGAAGAAGGUGAAACAUGUGGAGAAUGGAGGGGAGCCUGCAGGCAAUGCCAAACUAGCUCACAGAGGACUUCGGGGAAAAUCUACCUUGUACAGUUGCCGCAGAAUUGAGCCACAAGUAUCAGCUGGGCAAGAAGUAACCAGGUGAAUUAGGUCCAUCACCCCAAAGACCACUGUGCCCAAUACUCUUCCCAACUACCCAGGAGUCACGAAAACCACCCCUUCCUCCCAUGUCCAUGGAAGCCAUCUUAAAGUGGAGUCAGGGGUUAUACCAUAUGGAAAGCUGUUUGGUUUUUUGAUCUUUUUCCUCAAAGCCGAGCAUUAUCUAAAGGGACUGUUUCCUUUAUUCAUUUGAACUAAGAUUUCACCCAGAUAGGACUAAAAGUGAUUGUUUUGCCCAUGACUGGAAGUUGGAGGGAAGCCUACAACUAUGCAGCUAUUUUUAUAGCUGAAAAUAAAGGAACACAUUUUAGUUGAA
rnacentral:lncRNA from 1 species